GACGAACGCUGGCGGCGUGCCUAAUACAUGCAAGUCGAACGCUGAAGGAGGAGCUUGCUCUUCUGGAUGAGUUGCGAACGGGUGAGUAACGCGUAGGUAACCUGCCUGGUAGCGGGGGAUAACUAUUGGAAACGAUAGCUAAUACCGCAUAACAGUAGAUGUUGCAUGACAUUUACUUAAAAGGUGCAAUUGCAUCACUACCAGAUGGACCUGCGUUGUAUUAGCUAGUUGGUGGGGUAACGGCUCACCAAGGCGACGAUACAUAGCCGACCUGAGAGGGUGAUCGGCCACACUGGGACUGAGACACGGCCCAGACUCCUACGGGAGGCAGCAGUAGGGAAUCUUCGGCAAUGGACGGAAGUCUGACCGAGCAACGCCGCGUGAGUGAAGAAGGUUUUCGGAUCGUAAAGCUCUGUUGUAAGAGAAGAACGAGUGUGAGAGUGGAAAGUUCACACUGUGACGGUAUCUUACCAGAAAGGGACGGCUAACUACGU
rnacentral:rRNA from 1 species